rnacentral:rRNA from 1 species
GACGAACGCUGGCGGCGUGCUUAACACAUGCAAGUCGAACGGUAAGGCCCUUCGGGGUACACGAGUGGCGAACGGGUGAGUAACACGUGGGUGAUCUGCCCUGCACUUCGGGAUAAGCCUGGGAAACUGGGUCUAAUACCGGAUAGGACCACUGCCUGCAUGGGGGGUGGUGGAAAGCUUUUGCGGGGUGAGAUGGGCCCGCGGCCUAUCAGCUUGUUGGGGGGGUGAUGGCCUCCAAAGGCGACGACGGGUAGCCGGCCUGGGAGGGUGACCGGCCUCCCUGGGACUGGGAUAGGGCCCAGACUCCUACGGGAGGCAGCAGUGGGGAAUAUUGCACAAUGGGCGCAAGCCUGAUGCAGCGACGCCGCGUGAGGGAUGACGGCCUUCGGGUUGUAAACCUCUUUCAGCACCGACGAAGCGCAAGUGACGGUAGGUGCAGAAGAAGGACCGGCCAACUACGUGCCAGCCGCCGCCGUAA